AGCAAUAGCAAAGUAUUAGAAUAUAUAGAAUGGAAACAUAAAAAUCAUACAUUUAAAGCUCUGCUGAUGUAUGCUAUGGACAAGAGGGAAGGUAGCACUAUUAGCUUCUUUAAGCUUGCAGCUAUAUUAUCAUCAUCAUCAUCAUCAUCAUCAUGAUCAUCUGACUCAUUUUACUUUUAAAACAACCAUCUUUCUUGCCUCUGCUCUCAUUUUUGGAGAUGCACACUUCGAAAUCUCCUAGGAUUCUCCACAAAUUCAGAAUUGCAGUUGAGAGAGGACCUUUGAGCUGAAGAUGUUUCUACAGAUUGAAUUUUUCCAGACAGAAGAUAGAGAUCCUUCCUGGGAGUUUUUCCAUUUGUUCUACAUAUUUAGGCUUCUUUGGAGUUUUGGGUCUUAAUUUUUAUAAAAUAAAUAUAGCUCUCCCCAUUUUAGAUGCUGUAAAAAUAACUUUUUUUCAUACCAGCUGAAUAUCAUUGUAUAUUAGACUCCAUAUAAACCUAGUUUAUUUCCACCAUUAAAAAGUCCUUGAAUAUGGAUGAUGGUUCUUUCACUCCUUCCAACAAUCCUCCUGUGUUUGGAAACCUUGACUAUGAUUUAAUGGAUCAACUGUUAAAUGAAGGGUGUUGGUUACAAACAGCUGAUGGAUCAAACCUUCUGCAGUUGAGUCAGGGUCCUGGUCAGGGUCAGGGUCAGGGUGAGGGUGAGGGUCAGGGUCAGGGUUCGAGUCCACCCACCUCUCGCGGUUUAAGCUACCCAUCUUUUCCCUUCCUUGGUUCGGACCCAAACUCGAGCAGUUUGACUUCCACCCCUCAGCCUAGUAAAUGGAGUCCAAAGACAGAACAUGGAAUAGAUUCAGAAAAUCAGGAAAACAACAUGCUAGCAAAAAGAAGCUUCAGUUGGGAUAGCAAUGAACUGAACAAAAUGCUAUGGAUAGCACCAAAGGCGAAUUCAGGGCUGUCAACUUCAGUUAAAGACAGGUUGAUGACAGCAAUCUACCAUUUGAGAGAAUUGAAUAGAGAAAGAGAUGUGCUUAUUCAAAUAUGGGUUCCUAUAAAGAAAGGACUAAAGAGUUUCCUUACAACAGUGGAGCAACCGCACUUUUAUCAACCUUCUAGCACGCGGUUGCUCCAUUAUAGAGAUGUCUCCGAGAAAUAUGAAUUCUUGGCAGAUGAAGAUACUAAACAGGCACUUGGAUUGCCUGGGCGAGUCUUCCUUGGCAAAGCACCUGAAUGGACACCUGAUGUCCGAUUUUUCAGGCAGGAGGAGUAUCCACGUAGUGUUUUUGCUCAUAAGUAUGAUGUUCGUGGCUCUAUUGCUCUUCCUGUUUUUGAAAAAGGCAGUGCUCUUUCUUUAGGCGUUGUUGAGAUUAUCAUGACUACUGAUAAAUUCGAUUAUCGUCCUGAAGUUGAAAGCGUUUGUAAAGCACUUGAGACUGUUCAUCUCAGGAGUUCCGAUAUCCUUGACACUCCUCAGGAACAGGUAGUGAAAGGAUCUUAUGAAGCUGUACAACCUGAAAUCUUAACUGUGGUGAGAACUGUAUGUGACACACUCGAUUUACCUCUAGCUCAAACAUGGGCUCCAUGUUCACAACAAGGAAAAGGCGGGUGUUGGCAUUCAGACAACAACACCCAUUGCGUUUCAAUCAUUGAUUCUGCUUGUUAUGUUCGUGAUCAACGAGUUAUGGAUUUCCAUAAGGCCUGCUCCGAUCACCACUUACUGAAAAGUCAAGGGGGUAUAGUUGGGAAAGCAUUUGAGACAAACCAGCCAUGCUAUGCUACAGAUGUCACGGAGUUCAGUAAGGUCGAAUAUCCCCUCUCACACCACGCAAAGAUGUUUGGGCUACAUGGUGCGGUAGCAAUAAGGCUUCGUGACAUCUAUCAUGAGCUGAAUGAUUAUGUAUUAGAAUUAUAUUUACCAUCCAAUUUGCAGGAAAAAGGGCUAGCUUUCCAUGCUAGGAUAUGGCAGUCAGUAUCAAUGGUGAUACAGCAACACUGCCGGUUUCUGCAGUUUAUUACAGAUAAAGAUUUUGAGCAGAAAGUCUUGAACCCUGGAAAGCUGAGUUCAGAUAAUGAAGUAAAAGAAACUUCCUGGCUAUCACACAUGAUCGACCCUCAGAGAAAGGGUAAGGAGGUAGUGGUUUCUUUGGAAUUUGGAGAAGAAGAGCCUAGCAAAGGAUUUAAGGUGAUGAAUUGGAGUGAUAGCGAGCCUAGUUUACAACUCGGACAGGCAGUUUCUGAUAGCGAAAACAUCAACCCAGAUUCUGGAUCAAAAGGUAUAAGUGCUUCAUCAUCUGGAGGCCGGCUUCCUCUGGGUGCUAGAAAAGCUGUUGAAAAGAGGAGGACCAAGACUCAGAAAACAAUCAGUUUGGAUAUACUUAGACAAUACUUUGCUGGUAGCCUUAAAGAAGCUGCCAAAAGCAUUGGAGUUUGCCCCACAACUCUGAAAAGGAUAUGUAGGCAGCAUGGAAUUGCUAGAUGGCCUUCUAGAAAGAUCAAGAAGGUGGAUCAUUCUCUGAGGAAACUUCAACUGGUGAUUGACUCAGUGCAAGGUGCUGAAGGCUCCAUACAACUGUCUUCUUUCUAUACAAAUUUCCCUGAACUUAACAGUCCAAACACACCGACGAAACCCAAUCAAGUUUCCUCAAUAAACUUAAACAAUCAGCCGAAACAACAACAGCUAACUACUCAACCUGAAGGAACCAUAUUCCCUUCAGGAGCCACAACUUCCAACUCUCCGGCCUCAACUUCUUCUAGCCAAACCUCCACUUCUAGUUAUUGCUUCUCAAGUGGGGCCAAAAUCUCAUCUCCUAUUACAACAAUUGCCUCAGGGAGUAAAGACACAUCAACAGCACAAGAUCCUGAUGGGUCCCUCAAGAGAGCCCGCAGUGAAGCAGAAUUACAGGGGCUAAGUAAAAGAGAAUCUACUGAUCAGAUUCUAGAAAGAUCUCAGAGCAACAGAACUCUUGCUGAGCAUCCUUCUUUUGAAGCUCUACCGCGUUUGGCUAUAACCAAAAGUUGGCUAUCAAGAGAGGCAGGUGUGUUCAAAGCUAAAGCUACUUUCGGAGAGGAGAAAAUUCGUUUCACCAUCUUACCAACCAUGGGAUUCCAAGAAUUGCAACAAGAGAUAGUCAAAAGAUUUAAUUUGGAAGAAGAUUUCAAUAGGAUGGGUAUUAAGUAUUUGGAUGAUGAUAAAGAAUGGGUUCUUUUAACAUGCAAUGCUGAUCUAGAGGAAUGUAUAGAUAUACAUAAAUCUUCUGGGAGCCACACAAUCAAGCUCUCUCUUUCGCCUCUUUCAAGCUUGGCCGGUUCUUUUGGUAGCAGCGGUUUAUCAUAACUUCAGAAUUUGUGGAACUUUGAUUGUCCGCCAUGUUGAUCACGACAAGUAUUUGGUUUUAUUAUUGAAGUAUGAAAGGAGGCAAAAGAUCUUGCUCAUGAGUCAUGAUAUAUCAUGUCAUUUUUAAAGCUUUUGAUGAAUUCUAAUAGCAUGACAUGAGGAAUAUUUUUUGCAAGUUUACUGAUAGAGCUUGUUGAUUAUGUGAUCUUGAUAACGGAAGAAGACGAAGAAGAAACAAGAGAUUUGGGAGCAAGCAAUAAGCAUUGUGAUUUUUUUGAUGGGUAGUACAUCUAUCAACUCGGCAAAGAAGUUAGGAAGUGUUUGUUUUAUACAGCCAAAAGCUAUGUAAAAUUUAUGAUUAUUUUCAUGCCACCCUUAUAUUUAAAAUUUUUGUUUGUUGUCUUCAGAAUUUAGACCCUAUAUAAGUGAAGAUUUUGUAAAAGAAAAAUUGUUCGAUAUGUAAUUUUGAACUUUCUAUCAUGAAAAUCUUUUUAGUA